ACGACCUUACUUGAACAAGAUCUGUUCUAUAGGCUCAUACCAUUGUAUCCUUGAUUUCUAAGGAGACAGGAAACCAAGUCUGGUGGAUGACUUAUGGCCAAUAGACC
rnacentral:snoRNA from 2 species